rnacentral:rRNA from 1 species
GAUGAACGCUGGCGGCGUGCCUAAUACAUGCAAGUCGAGCGAACGGACGAGAAGCUUGCUUCUCUGAUGUUAGCGGCGGACGGGUGAGUAACACGUGGAUAACCUACCUAUAAGACUGGGAUAACUUCGGGAAACCGGAGCUAAUACCGGAUAAUAUUUUGAACCGCAUGGUUCAAAAGUGAAAGACGGUCUUGCUGUCACUAAUAGAUGGUUCCGCGCUGCAUUAGCUAGUUGGUAAGGUAACGGCUUACCAAGGCAACGAUGCAUAGCCGACCUGAGAGGGUGAUCGGCCACACUGGAACUGAGACACGGUCCAGACUCCUACGGGAGGCAGCAGUAGGGAAUCUUCCGCAAUGGGCGAAAGCCUGACGGAGCAACGCCGCGUGAGUGAUGAAGGUCUUCGGAUCGUAAAACUCUGUUAUUAGGGAAGAACAUAUGUGUAAGUAACUGUGCACAUCUUGACGGUACCUAAUCAGAAAGCCACGGCUAACUACGUG